rnacentral:rRNA from 1 species
UUAAGCAUUAUACCGCGGAACUGCGAAUGGCUCAUUAUAUAAGUUAUCGUUUAUUUGAUAAUACUUUACUACUUGGAUAACCGUGGUAAUUCUAGAGCUAAUACAUGCUGAAAAUCCCGACUUCGGAAGGGAUGUAUUUAUUAGAUUAAAAACCAAUGCCCCUCGGGGCUCUCUGGUGAAUCAUAAUAACUAGUCGAAUCGACAGGCCUUGUGCCGGCGAUGGCUCAUUCAAAUUUCUUCCCUAUCAACUUUCGAUGUUUGGGUAUUGGCCAAACAUGGUGGCAACGGGUAACGGAGGGUUAGGGCUCGACCCCGGAGAAGGAGCCUGAGAAACGGCUACUACAUCCAAGGAAGGCAGCAGGCGCGCAAAUUACCCAAUCCCGACACGGGGAGGUAGUGACAAUAAAUACUGAUACAGGGCUCUUUUGGGUCUUGCAAUCGGAAUGAGUACAAUUUAAAUCCCUUAACGAGGAACAAUUGGAGGGCAAGUCUGGUGCCAGCAGCCGCGGUAAUUCCAGCUCCAAUAGCGUAUAUUAAAGUUGUUGUGGUUAAAAAGCUCGUAGUUGAACCUUGGGCCUGGCUGGCCGGUCCGCCUCACCGCGUGCACUGGUCCGGCCGGGCCUUUCCCUCUGCGGAACCCCAUGCCCUUCACUGGGUGUGGCGGGGAAACAGGACUUUUACUUUGAAAAAAUUAGAGUGCUCAAGGCAGGCCUAUGCUCGAAUACAUUAGCA